UACGUAGGGUGCGAGCGUUGUCCGGAAUUAUUGGGCGUAAAGAGCUCGUAGGCGGUGUGUCACGUCGGCCGUGAAAACCUGCAGCUUAACUGUGGGCGUGCGGUCGAUACGGGCAUCACUGGAGUGCGGCAGGGGAGACUGGAAUUCCUGGUGUAGCGGUGAAAUGCGCAGAUAUCAGGAGGAACACCGGUGGCGAAGGCGGGUCUCUGGGCCGAUACUGACGCUGAGGAGCGAAAGCGUGGGGAGCAAACAGG
rnacentral:rRNA from 1 species